UACGUAGGGGGCAAGCGUUGUCCGGAAUCAUUGGGCGUAAAGCGCGUGUAGGCGGUUCAGUAAGUCUGCUGUGAAAGUCCAGGGCUCAACCCUGGGAUGCCGGUGGAUACUGCUGGGCUAGAGUACGGAAGAGGCGAGUGGAAUUCCCGGUGUAGCGGUGAAAUGCGCAGAUAUCGGGAGGAACACCAAUGGCGAAGGCAGCUCGCUGGGACGUUACUGACGCUGAGACGCGAAAGCGUGGGGAGCAAACAGG
rnacentral:rRNA from 1 species